ACACGACCGUACCGCAAACCGACACUGGUGCGCGAGAUGAGUAUUCUAAGGCGCUUGAGAGAACUCAGGAGAAGGAACUCGGCAAAUUGACACCGUAACUUCGGAAGAAGGUGUGCCUUUAGUAGGUGAAGUCCCUCGCGGAUGGAGCCCAAUGAGGUUGCAAAAAAUCGGUGGCUACUGUUUAUUAAAAACACAGCACUCUGCAAACACGAAAGUGGACGUAUAGGGUGUGACGCCUGCCCGGUGCUGGAAGAUUAAAUGAUGGGGUGCAAGCUCUUGAUUGAAGUCCCAGUAAACGGCGGCCGUAACAAUAACGGUCCUAAGGUAGCGAAAUUCCUUGUCGGGUAAGUUCCGACCUGCACGAAUGGCGUAACGAUGGCCACACUGUCUCCUCCUGAGACUCAGCGAAGUUGAAAUGUUUGUGAUGAUGCAAUCUCCCCGCGGAAAGACGGAAAGACCCCAUGAACCUUUACUGUAGCUUUGUAUUGGACUUUGAACAGAUCUGUGUAGGAUAGGUGGGAGGCUUUGAAGCAGGGUCGCUAGAUCUUGUGGAGCCAACGUUGAAAUACCACCCUGGUGUGUUUGAGGUUCUAACCUAGGCCCGUAAUACGGGUUGGGGACAGUGCAUGGUAGGCAGUUUGACUGGGGCGGUCUCCUCCCAAAGUGUAACGGAGGAGUUCGAAGGUACGCUAGUUACGGUCGGACAUCGUGACGAUAGUGCAAUGGCAUAAGCGUGCUUAACUGCGAGACUGACAAGUCGAGCAGAUGCGAAAGCAGGACAUAGUGAUCCGGUGGUUCUGUAUGGAAGGGCCAUCGCUCAACGGAUAAAAGGUACUCUGGGGAUAACAGGCUGAUACCGCCCAAGAGUUCAUAUCGACGGCGGUGUUUGGCACCUCGAUGUCGGCUCAUCUCAUCCUGGGGCUGUAGCCGGUCCCAAGGGUAUGGCUGUUCGCCAUUUAAAGAGGUACGUGAGCUGGGUUUAAAACGUCGUGAGACAGUUUGGUCCCUAUCUUCCGUGGGCGCUGCAGAUUUGAGGAAGCCUGCUCCUAGUACGAGAGGACCGGAGUGGACGCACCUCUGGUGUAUCGGUUGUCACGCCAGUGGCAUUGCCGAGUAGCUAUGUGCGGAAGAGAUAACCGCUGAAAGCAUCUAAGCGGGAAACUCGUUUCAAGAUGAGAUCUGCCGGGGCCUUGAGCCCCCUGAAGAGUCGUUCAAGACCAGGACGUUGAUAGGUCGGGUGUGGAAGCGCAGUAAUGCGUUAAGCUAACCGAUACUAAUUGCUCGUGCGGCUUGACC
rnacentral:rRNA from 1 species